CAUUCACGGAGAGUUUGAUCCUGGCUCAGGACGAACGCUGGCGGCGUGCUUAACACAUGCAAGUCGAACGAUGAACCACUUCGGUGGGGAUUAGUGGCGAACGGGUGAGUAACACGUGGGCAAUCUGCCCUGCACUCUGGGACAAGCCCUGGAAACGGGGUCUAAUACCGGAUACUGAUCCUCGCAGGCAUCUGCGAGGUUCGAAAGCUCCGGCGGUGCAGGA
rnacentral:rRNA from 1 species